GGAGAUCACCCAGCUCGUCUUGCUAGAGCACUUUUUCAAUGUGCUCCCCAACGACAUGGCGACGGCGUAUUCGUAUGUCAAUCCAUAUCAACUUUUGAUGCCAUUUACUGCGCCUACCAUAGUGACCACGGGUAACAGGGAAUCAGGGUUCGAUUCCGUACAGGGACCCUGACAAACGCCUACCACAUGCAAGGAAGGCAGCAGGGGCGCAAAUGACCCACUCCCGAAGCAAGGAGGUAGUGAC